UACGGAGGGUGCAAGCGUUAUCCGGAUUCACUGGGUUUAAAGGGUGCGUAGGUGGUUUUGUAAGUCAGUGGUGAAAGCCCGGAGCUCAACUCCGGAACUGCCAUUGAUACUGCUUAACUUGAAUCAACUUGAGGUGGAUGGAAUAUUACAUGUAGCGGUGAAAUGCUUAGGUAUGUAAUAGAACACCGAUUGCGAAGGCAGUUCACUAAGGUUGUAUUGACACUGAGGCACGAAAGCGUGGGGAUCAAACAGG
rnacentral:rRNA from 1 species